rnacentral:tRNA from 1 species
UGGGGAGUGGUCUAGUGGUAGUGACGCCAGACUCUGGAUCUGGUUGCGGUGGUUCGAAUCCACCCUCCCCAGCCA